GUCAUUGUGAUUAGUCAAUAAAGUCUUGUCUGGUCUGAAAGCCUUGGCGGCCUCUGCAGCAGCCUUUUGUAUAUCCUUUGCCUGAGUAGUUGCAGGUUUGGGGAGCCGCCAUGCUGAGUCUGCAAAGUUGAGACAGGCGUAGCGGCCCUCAAUGCCAUUGCAGCAACAUCGUGGGCACGGGUUGCCAUCUCCGCAGUUGGAAAAGUCCCUAGCCAAAUCUUAGUCUUCUUGUUAGGCUUCCUCAUUUCACAAACCCAUUUAUCUAAGUUCCUCUUCCUUACACCCCUAUAGACCGGGUGGCGAGUCUCCUUGAACUUCUUCCUCCCUGCACGCUUCUUUGGGGUAGUUGCAGCUAACCGCAUCUCCUCGUUGCAAAUUGACAUCCAAUGAGAGCCCCCUGAAUUCGGCAGCGACAUGUCGGAGGAAGAAGAAAAGACAGAGUUGUUAGAUGGAUACAUAUGGCAAAGAAUUUGAUAGUGAAAGUUGGAACUGAAGAUAAGUGUUUGUUAUUAUGAAGUAAAGAGGUUGUUGUUUUUGUGCUUGAGACUUAAGAAAGUCAAGAAUAAGUUGUGUUAUAUAUAUAUAUAUAUAUAUAUAUAUAGAAGAGUGGUUGGUUUGUUUGAGGGAAAAGGUAAGAGUGAGAGUGAGAGUGAGAGUGAGAGUGACGUUGGAUAUUUUUGAAGCGUAAAACGCCAGCUGGGUUUACUUAGUUGGGGACUUUGUGAUUGGUUAAGAAUUUUGCAAGAGACAAGAGAAAGUGUGUGGGUUUCUAGAGGGACACCACUGCAGCCUAAAAAAUAGUACUAGUAAUAAUGUUAUUAAAAUAAUUUACUCCCCUUUUGUUAUUUGAACCUCUAAUAAAAAUCACGGCAGUUCAAAAAUGCUGAAAGGAGUAAUUUUUUUUAUAUAUAGUAUGAAUAUAUUUUAAUGACAAAUAAAUUAUGAACGGAAGGAGUACAACCUUCUUGGACACAAAAUAUUGUUGCUUUUUCACCUCGACAUAGACUAAUAAGGUAAUUGAACGAUCCAUUCGAAUAUAGUUAUCAAGGAAAUGAUCAGUUGGAUUAAUCUUAUUUUUAUACGAAUGUUUAUAAUACUAUUGCAAUCUUUUCCACAAAAUCUUAGAAUAGUCGAAUUAAAUAUGAUUUUUUUAAGCACUAAAAACAUAAUAAAUCAUAUUUAACUCAUCACUUGUUAAAUAAAUUUGAACUUUUUCAAGAGAGAUUUUUAUAAUAUACUAGACAUGUUUUUUUUUUAAAAAAAAAAUUGAAAAUACACAUGAGUUUACUUAAAAUAAGAAACAAAAAACUCAUUAUGAAAAAUACUUGAAGACCCAAACAUGAUGAAAUUUUUUUGAUUGAUUAAAAAUGAAAUUUAUGAUUUUUAUAAGUACCAAAUAAUAUUUUGCCUUAUAAAUUUUAACAAAGUAGAAGAUAGUGUAUUAAAAUGUGUUACAGACUAUUACUAACACGACUUCAACUAAAAAGAAUUAAAAAAAACAAAAAAAUACACUAAAAAAAAGUAGAAAAAAAUAUACCAUUUUUUAAUUAUUGGUCACUCCUACUUCUUUCGGGGAAGUUUCUUUCAAGUCAAACACGGAAUUAAGGAGAAAAUAUCCUAUUCCUUCCACUCGUUUUCUUUCUUAGCGAGUAAGUUCUAAAACAAACAUGGAAUAAACAAGAAAAUAUCCUAUUCCUUCCACUCGUUUUCCUUCUUAGCGUGUAAUUUCUAAAGCAAACAUGGAAUAACCAAGAAAAUAUCCUAUUCCUUUCACUCGUUUUCUUUCUUAGCGAGUAAAUUCUAAAACAAACAUGGAAUAAAUUAGAGAAUAUUCUAUUCCUUCCACCGUUUUCUUUCCCAAAGCGCGUAGGUUCUGAACCCCACCAAUUUUUCAACUGUUUUUGUUCUUGUUUUUUUCUCUCACUUAUAUUUCCUCUUUUAGUUUUGGCUUAAUUGCAGUUUUAAUCUCUUAAUUUUUUUAAAGUUGUGAUUUUGGACUCCUAAGAAAAAAAAUUACAAACUGCCCCCUAAGUUUUUCAACUAUAGCAGUUUUGGCCCUCAAGGCAAUAAAAAAAAAAUUGACAUGUGGAACCUCACUUAGGGUGUCACUUCCGCGUUGACCGAGUUGGACUGGGGUCCAAAACUGCCAAAGAAUCCAAAUAUAGGGGACUGUUUUGUAUUUAAAUUAGUUAAGGGUCACCACAACUUUUGGAAAGAUAGGGGUCCAAAAGUGCAAUUAAGCCUUUAGUUUUUCAUGUUUUCUUCUUCCAAAUUCUAAUAUCUUCCAUUUUCUUCCAGGUCCUGAUUUCUUCCAUUAUUUCGAACCAUAUUUUUUUCCUGACCGUGCUACCGUGCCGGAACUCUCCUGCCGCGCCGUGGAAACUUGCUAAUGGUUCUGCACAUUUUACGCCAUUCUUAUGUUUUCAUGAAACUUUUAUCAUAAUACUCUAAUCAACUUUAUGCACAUUCGACUGCCAUUUCAUUAAAACUUGCAAAUGUAUAAUUUCUUGUCUUUUAUUAUGUUCAGUACUAUAAUUUGGUGCAGAUGUUGGACUUCAAUGUGCCUCAAGGUAGGAUUUAAUUUUUGUAUUUUUUUUUUUUUGAGUUCGUAACAAGUAAUUUAGUGUAUGUUUAGAUUGACACUGAGUUUGACAAAAUCACAGUGACAACAUGAUUUUGUUGAAGUUUCAAAGUCACCUUCAAUAUCAUUUUAUCUAUUUGUUGUUGUGAUAAGAUAAUCACCUUCAAUUAUUCUAUGAAGGUUGGAAUGAUCGCUUCAAAUGAUAAAGUUCUACUACGAAACUAUAUUGCAUGUAGGGGUGUAAGUAGUUUGGACAAAACCGAUGAAACUGAAAAUCUAAAUAGAAAAAGUAUCCGACCUUGUUUUGUUCGGUUCAAAACCGAACCAAACUAACGUAAACCGAUAUAGUUUGGUUUGGUUCUCGGAUUUUAAUUUUGAGAUUCAAAAAAUUGAUAAAUUGAACCGAUACUAGUCUCACUCUCCAUUUUAUUAAUAUCAUUUUUCAUCACACAUACACUGAUGAUGAAGCUAAAAAUUAAAGUCCAACGUAAAAUACUCCUUCAUUCAUUCACUUACACUUAUGAAUUUUUCUAAAUGUUUUUGGCCUCAAAUUUCAUAAGAGUUUCGACACAGUUAGUUAUCUGUAUUUCUCUUGGUUUCUUCAAACACUCAAGGUCUUUUAUAGGAGAUUUUAAAUCCUUUGCCAUUUACAGAUUUUUCGGUUGAAUUGUACUUAAGACAUUCUUUGCUUCUUUGUAAGUGAUAUGUUUUUCCUCUCACAAAGAUUUGUCUGUUUUUGCAACGUGUCUCCUUUUAUUAGUGACAUGUGUAUAUUGCUCAAUCUUACUCUACUUCACUAUGUACAUGAGAAAUACACAUCAGCACAUGUUUCUAUAAAAUCCUACAAAAGAGAAGAGAGACAAUGAUUUUACCUCCUUCAAUACUUUAUGCUUCAUUAGUGACUACAUUCAAAGAAAAGAAUACAAAAAGAAUUUUCUUUCCAAUUUAAACCUAUCAAGAAUCCGUACUACUACUAAAAAGGUUUGUACUACAGACAAUUUCCAUUCUACAAUCAAAAAAUAAAUAAAUGUAAACCAAACGGAUCAAACUAAAAAAUUCCAUUUUCCUACAAAAAAUUUAAAAACUCCAUAGUGAUACUUUUUCAUCUUGAAAGUCUUCAUUAAUAUAUUGAUACUCAUAAUACCCCAAGCUAUGUGUAGGAGACAUUAGCGCCAUAUUACUCCACAUCUCUUGCAUGUUCAUCACUCCUUCUUCUUUCUCUUCCAUACAAAUCAUACUCUGCUCCUCAGUGGCAGUGGCAACUACAGCCAUGUCAUUCUCUUUGUCAUUGUCAUUGUCAUUGUCAUUGUGAUUAGUCAAUAAAGUCUUGUCUGGUCUGAAAGCCUCGGCGGCCUCUGUAGCAGCCUUUUGUAUAUCCUUUGCUUGAGUAGUUGCAGGUUUGGGGAGCCGCCACGCUGAGUCUGCAAAGUUGAGACAAGCGUAGCGGCCCCUCAAUGCCAUUGCAGCAACAUCGUGGGCACGGGCUGCCAUCUCGGCAGUUGGAAAAGUCCCUAGCCAAAUCU
rnacentral:lncRNA from 1 species